CUUUGUAUAGAAGCAUAACGUCACUUCUUCUUUCAAUUGGGGAUUAGUUGCAAGACCAAAAGGUGGUAAGGAUCAUUGAUGUUUUGGUGCUCUUGUCGCUCUAACUUGUUCUUUUCACAAGCUCUAAAAGAAAGUAGUUCUGGCACUAGCUAGCUUCCUAUGAGAUAGUGUUCAUCAUAAUUGUGACACAAUCCUCUCAAAAGUACUUACUCCAACUCCACUAAUGCAGAACAAGAUCCUAAUUUGGAAUAAAUUUUCUGUUAAUUUUUUUUCCUAUCAUUGUUUACUAUGCUUCAAUCAACUACUUUACUAUGCACCUUGAUCUCUAAUUUUCUUUGGUUUGUAUUUGUUCUUCUGUCUCUCAAUUAGAUUUUCUUUACUUCUAAACUAUCUCUAGGAGAGGUGGUUUGCUGCUAAUGUCUUCUGUCAAGUCAUAAAUUUGUGCAGCAUCCUUGAUAUUAAAAUUGGUUUCGCCAAUUAUAUCCCAUCCUGCUUUUAUCGUAGGCAAAAACAUCAUAAUUUUGAUUAUUUCUGAAGCCAUAGAGUUCCACAGCUAUGCUGUGAUCAUAAAGUCCUCUUUGUCCCAUGUAUCAUAUGUGGAGUUUCUAGGUUUUGGUCUGGUUACAAAAAGAUGACCAACUUUGCUUUUACCUUUAAGAGUAGUACAGAUUAAUUGGGACCAGCUUAAAUUAUCUUUGUCUAUAAAGCAAUUGGUUGUCUGGAUUGACUGAAAUUUGUCGGUGGUAUUCCCAAUAUGGGAACGUGAGCCUAUGGAUUGAGAUUUAACCUCUGGAAUUUGUGAAUUCUAGCAACACUUGGUAACCACUGAAAUUUUCAUGGAUCAGUUCUGUCACUACAGAGCGCGAUCGAUGGUAUGCAACUGUUUAGAGGUUGUCAGGACUGACCAAAAGUGGUGCAUGAGGCUGUGAUUUUGCUGUUGGAUAAAGAGCGGACACGGCGUUGGACAGAGAGUGACGCAUUGUUGUUGGAUACAUCAGAGCAGAUAGCGGUGCUAGCGAUUUGAAGUGCGCAAAGGAGAGAAUUGUGUGGCAAGGGUUUUACUUCUGCACAACCAAGAGAGAAUAGAGGAAGUCGUGUCUAGUGCUCGCGUUUGGUUACGACACAGAGCAACAACGCGAUAGAGAAGUCGCAUCUCGACAAGCAAUGUCGCAUUUGGUUGGCACGUCUGAACAAACGGCUCGUCUGGUCAUGAUAAAAGAGUCCAUCACGUCUGGUUGUGAGUUAAGGCAACAAGGGCUGAGCGAUGCUUAAAUGGUGGCGACUAGGGUCAUGCGUGAGGAUAGAGUAUGCGAACGUGUGAUCAUGUCUAAGGUUAGCGCGGCUUGGCUGCACAAAUUGGACUUGGCAACAAAGGCUGGGCUUGGUGGAGAUGACUGGCUCCAUUGUCAGCUUGUGAUGGGGGUGGCUGACUUUUGGUGGCCAUCAGCUAAGGUUAUGGUGGCUGUCAUCCCAAACACAAUUCAAAUCAAUGACGGAAAGACUUUUUGGGCGGCCAAGAGAAGAAAGCAUGCGGCAAGGCCCACUCAAGAGCGGAGACAUGCGACCAAGGAAGUACAAGACAAGAUCCAAAUAAUUUGGAUGGAUUUGGAUUACUUGGGAAGAAUAUUAUGAUGCAAAGUGGGCCCAUUACACGAGGAAGAGCUAAAAGACUCCAACAAGCCUUUCAACUUUUUAUUCAAUGAUGGAUAAGUGAGGAAGAAGGGCUUGGAUCAAGUAAGCCCAUAGGAGGAAGGAGGCGAUCCCCGGUCAGGGGUAUAGUGGUACAUGCAUCCUUAUCCAAAUGAAA